UCGAAAGGUGUCCUGGUCCCUAUGAGACUCUUCUCGAGAUGUGAUGCUUUAAAUUGUUCCAAUGCGCCGCCUGAAAGAUACGAACUCUUUUGGGAUUUACGCGGGCGUUCCUUUAGUCUAAGCAAGGGACAUUUUUUGUGAAGAACCGUAAGGCAGAAACUAUGAAGAACAGAGUUUUUAAGAUUUUUGUGCUUUUGUCCUUUGGCUUAUUGGGGUGCUUUUUGCAGGCUGUUCACUGUGAGCCGCGCUCUGAGUCCCGAGAAGCAGCAGGUAGGCACACGGCAGGUUCCUCUCGCCUGGCCAUCCGAUGGAGCGCUAAUGGACGCGUGUAUAACCUGCUGAGUCACGGCUCUGAGUAUCUACCGUCUCGCCGACGAGGAAACGUGGACUCAAACGGACCUACACUGUUGAUUCGAGAAUCAAACGAGACCGUGCCGCACGUGAAGUCCGAUUCCCGACCGACGCGCACAGAACCCGGGCAAACUGACAGUUCUGACCUGAUGAUGGCUGAUAAUCCGUACGAGCCUUACAAGUCUAUUCGUAACGAGCUCUAUAACCCGUACUACAACUAUUACGACUCCUACUACCAGCCGCGCUCCAGGAACAGAGUUCCGCCGGGCUAUGGGACGAGAUAUUUCCAGUAUGGUCUUCCAGAUCUAAUUCCAGACGCUUAUUAUGUGCAAACUUCCACUUAUAUACAGAGAGUGCCAAUGUACAACCUUAGAUGCGCUGCUGAAGAACACUGCUUGACAAGCUCAGCUGCGCAUGCGCGGGACUACGACACGCGCGUCCUGCUCAGGUUUUCCCAGCGCGUGAAGAACCAGGGUACUGCUGACUUUCUCCCCAGCAGAUCACGAUACGCAUGGGAAUGGCACAGCUGCCACCAACACUACCACAGCAUGGAUGAGUUUUGCAAUUAUGAUCUCCUAGAUGCUUCCACUCAAAGUAAAGUAGCUGAAGGCCACAAAGCCAGUUUCUGUUUGGAAGAUACCUCCUGUGACCCUGGCUACCAAAGGCGCUAUGCCUGCACAUCACACACUCAGGGUCUAAGCCCAGGAUGUUAUGACACUUAUAAUGCAGACAUUGACUGCCAGUGGAUUGACAUCACUGAUGUCAAACCUGGAAAGUACAUUCUCAAGUUGUGCGGUUUUGUUGCAGAUAUCUGUGAAUCCAAAAUACAAGGUUCCAGAGUCAGACUAUAGUAAUAACAUAAUGCGCUGUGACAUUCAAUAUAUGGGCAAUUAUGUCCAUACAUCUGGGUGCAGUAUAUCUCAAUACUGAUUGCAGAGUGUUCGUCAAACCCAAAAUGUUAUUCAUUAAAAACAAAAACUGCUUACCCACAGGAAAUGGAAGACUAAUA